AGAAUCAACGCUGGCGGCGUGCCUAACACAUGCAAGUCGAACGAGAAAGUGGAGCAAUCCAUGAGUAAAGUGGCGCACGGGUGAGUAACACGUGACUAACCUACCCUGGAGUGGGGGAUAACUGAGGGAAACCUUAGCUAAUACCGCAUAAUACCUACGGGUCAAAGGAGCAAUUCGCUUCAGGAGGGGGUCGCGGCCGAUUAGUUAGUUGGCGGGGUAAUGGCCCACCAAGACAGUGAUCGGUAUCCGGCCUGAGAGGGCGCACGGACACACUGGAACUGAAACACGGUCCAGACUCCUACGGGAGGCAGCAGUGGGAAUUUGCGCAAUGGGGGAAACCCUGACGCAGCAACGCCGCGUGGAGGAUGAAGUCCUUCGGGACGUAAACUCCUUUCGAUCGGGACGAUUAUGACGGUACCGGAAGAAGAAGCCCCGGCUAACUUCGUGCCAGCAGCCGC
rnacentral:rRNA from 1 species